GCUGACCAGGAACCAGGAGGUGACGCUCAUGUCUGUACCGCUGCGGCUGCUUGUGUUACACACCUACAGGGGUCAGGUCAACGGAGAUCACAUCAAAACACGUUCUGGUGCCCAUUUUGCUCGGCCGAUGUCGGAGGAGGAAGUGAUGUCGGAAUGUUGGCCGGCCUUCCCAGCAGGACAGUUAGCUCUCCCCCGCCCCACCCUUACUACCGCCCUCGCUCGCCUUCCUUCACAUGAGCUGGAAAGGAGGUCAAACAAAAACACGCUGACUGGCAAGUGUCAAUAGCCCCGUGAAAUGAAGUUAUUCUGGCUCUGGCCAGAAACGAAAACAACGUGAGCAGAAUUGAAGUCGUCUGACUGGCUGUAAAUCACAGCACAUGAGAGGUCAUUUUCGUCAUUGAAUUUUCCGCCGCCUUGUCACAAGAUGAAGGUACAACAAUUUUGACUUGCGACUGGAUGGCGAAACGAGCACGAGUUACAUCUUCGUUUCGGUCUUGCUCCUUAAACAUUUCUCACCUUUUUGAAGGAGGCACUGAAAUACGCACGUGCAAAAAGGUAGAAAAGUUUGCCAAAGAGGGAAUUAAGCGCUUGUCUACUUGACCUUGUAAGUACUUGGUAGUACACCAACUCAAUCAUCCCUCGGGUAAAAAUUUUAAUCAACAACAUUCGCCAUCUUUCGUUGUGCCGUAGCGCUUUGCCUCUAUUCUCUAAAAGUGUAAAGCAACAGUCAUGCUACAGCAAAUCAAGAGGAAUGGCCAUCUCAUGCUUUUAGCAGGAAUUCCCCAACCCAUAGACCUCCACACACACACACACACACACACACACACACACACACACACACACACACACACACACACACACACACACACACACACACACACACACACACACACACACACACACACACACACACACACACACAAA